UACAGAGGUCUCAAGCGUUGUUCGGAUUCAUUGGGCGUAAAGGGUGCGUAGGUGGCGCCGUAAGUGGGGUGUGAAAUCCCGGGGCUUAACCCCGGGACUGCAUUCCAUACUGCGGUGCUUGAGGACUGGAGAGGAGACUGGAAUUUACGGUGUAGCAGUGAAAUGCGUAGAGAUCGUAAGGAAGACCAGUGGCGAAGGCGGGUCUCUGGACAGUUCCUGACACUGAGGCACGAAGGCCAGGGGAGCAAACGGG
rnacentral:rRNA from 1 species